rnacentral:lncRNA from 1 species
UUCCAUUUGUCUUCCCGCUGAUUCCUCACACUCUUGAGAGAGAAGCCACCAAUUUCCUUUAUCGCAACAGUAGUUUGUGUUGGUUUUGGAAGUUUAGAAGAUAAGGGUAUUUUAGUCCAAAAAUUUAUAUCUGGUUAUGUGAGUUAUAAAAAAAAAUUUGCAGUGGAUUUAUUUGUGGAAAUGGAAAAUUAUUUUGGUCAUUACCAGAAAUUUGAUUAAGUUCCACCAUGGAGGUGACAGGUAAGUAGAAAAUGAUAUUCGAAGA